rnacentral:lncRNA from 1 species
CUGCAUGUGGGUGGUUGUUCAGAGUUCAGUAGCAUUUCUUGCCAUAAUGCAGCCAUCUGUCAUGCAGUAUUUUGAGAAAAUGCUUCUGUGUCCUUAGUUUAAGUUAUUUAAAUAAAAAAAAAAAAAUUUCUUAUUGCAAUAAUAAAUUUGUUGCACUUUUGCCAGUCUUGAGAUAUUUGAUUAUUGUGAGUAAUAAAACAAUAAUCUUUUACAUAAUAUUUGUAUUGCAUUGUUGUUUUAAAUACCAAAAUUUUUCUUAAACCAUUCCUCAUGAAUCAGAGGCGAUUCUAGGGUCAGAGCUUUAGGGGUGCUGAGCACCCAAUGAGCUCCGCUGCCACCACCCUCCCUUUUUUCACACAAAAACAAAAUAUAUGUCUAUUGUAAAAUAACUUUAUCAUUUUAACAUUGGUUCAACUAACUCCAAAAUCCAGAUUUUUUUUUCUUUUUUUGGAGACCUUUCAGGCAUGAAAACGGGUCAGGGGUAAAAAAGGUGAGAAGGAUAUUAGCCCUCUAGGGGGGUCCGGGGGCAUGCUCCCCUGUAAGAACAUUUUGAAAAUUACAUAUUUUAAAGCAUCAGUCUGAUGAAUUUUGAGAUGCAUUUUUUUUGCCAACCUUUUUACUUCUGAUUAAUGGGGAGCUAGCACUUUUUUGCCAUUAAUGCCAUAUUGAAGUCUCCUGAGGCAUAUAUAUAAGGUUGCCAACUGUCACUAUAAAAUACAGGACAAAAGGUGGGCUACAGCAGCAGUGCGGGUAUGGUUUUGUGUGAAUAUACAGUGUAUUGUUUUAAGCCAUUUGUCAAAAUGAUAGCUAAUCUCCUAAUUUAUAACUUUUAUGCCUACAACAUAUCGUAGGUUUAUUAAUAGUUUGUUAAUUAACAGCUUUACUUUUAACAGUCCUUUAAUUGAACCAUUACCUUUACUAUAUGUCUAAAACAAAACAAAACACUUAUUGUGACUCCUGUACUAAGGGGUGACUCCUGUACUAAGGGUUAAAAACGUUAUCCCCCUUUAUGUUAAUCUAUGUGUGACAAACUAAAAAAAAACAUCUUACAUAAUAUAUAAUAAAUACAGCAAAAGAAACUCUUUUCUUUUAUUUGUCUAGUUUGAUAGUCAGACACAAAUGAAAAAUAACAGAUAUAAAUCUAGGAAUGAAUAACAAUUCAUUUAAAAAGCCACAGUUAGUGAUUUCACACAUACUGGUGGUAUACAGUACAGUGACUCCCGGUUUAACUUUAUAAAACUGAACGUAACUU